rnacentral:tmRNA from 1 species
GGGGGCGAUACGGUUUCGACGGGGAGCGUCGCGACAGACUCGGCGGGCCGAGUUCUCCGCAGACUCGAUAAACAAGCGGGAAACAACAAACGACAACAACUACGCUUACGCUGCCUAAUUAGGCAGACGUCCGAAGCGGCCCCAUCCCGGAGGGUUGCAAGGGCGCCAAAUAAACCGGGGAUGCUCUCCGGGCAAUUCUCGGAGCCUGGAGCUAAGAUCAUCGAGAUAGCAGAAGUGGAGCCUGCCGAGGGGCGCCACGGCUGCGAAACUCAAAUCAUCGGCUACGCUCGUAGAAGAGGCUGAAGAGGCCUUUCCGGACCCGGGUUCGACUCCCGGCGCCUCCACCA